rnacentral:rRNA from 1 species
ACUCCUACGGGAGGCAGCAGUGGGGAAUAUUGGACAAUGGGCGAAAGCCUGAUCCAGCCAUGCCGCGUGUGUGAAGAAGGUCUUCGGAUUGUAAAGCACUUUAAGUUGGGAGGAAGGGCAGUAAGUUAAUACCUUGCUGUUUUGACGUUACCAACAGAAUAAGCACCGGCUAACUUCGUGCCAGCAGCCGCGGUAAUACGAAGGGGUGCAAGCGUUAAUCGGAAUUACUGGGGCGUAAAGCGCGCGUAGGUGGUUCAGCAAGUUGGAUGUGAAAUCCCCGGGGCUCAACCUGGGAACUGCAUCCAAAACUACUGAGCUAGAGUACGGUAGAGGGUGGUGGAAUUUCCUGUGUAGCGGUGAAAUGCGUAGAUAUAGGAAGGAACACCAGUGGCGAAGGCGACCACCUGGACUGAUACUGACACUGUGGUGCGAAAGCGUGGGGAGCAAACAGGAUUAGAUACCCGUGGUAGGAUAGCG